AAUUAGGAUGGUUUUCUUUCUGGCACAUUCGUUAAGUUUUCAAAUGGGCCUAACUCUGCCACAUAUAUUAUAUUUGAGCUGGCAAAGGCUUGAUAACAAAGAGAUUUCCUGCCUUUCUUGUAUCAGAGAUUAGGGCCCACAUGU
rfam:Otolemur garnettii contig078199, whole genome shotgun sequence.